AGAGGUCAGAGUCUGCCUCUGGGACCUGAGGGACCUAAACCAAGAAUAUCGUCAUUCACUCACUCAACAGCAAGAAGUUAAACAGGGGUCUAAGUGACCAUACUUAUUUGAGAGUCAGAAGGAAGAAAAGAUGGAGGGGGACUCUUAGAACCUCAGGCCAUUUCAGAAGGAGCCACAGGGGAGGUACACGCCUCCUCUGUGCUUUGCAGGCAAGAGUUUCUGACAUGUCAGGAAACGCUGGAGAAGCCACUCUUUGGGCUGCGCUUUCAUCCAGGAGGCAGUGUGGGAUGGAUUAAUGGCAACUCACAAUAAAUUAUUUAUCAGAUAA